rnacentral:rRNA from 1 species
AAUGAACGCUGGCGGCAGGCCUAACACAUGCAAGUCGAACGAGGCAGCAAUGCCUAGUGGCGGACGGGUGAGUAACGCGUGGGAACGUGCCCCUUGGUACGGAAUAGCCCUGGGAAACUGGGAGUAAUACCGUAUGUGGUCGAGAGACGAAAGAUUUAUCGCCAAGGGAUCGGCCCGCGUUGGAUUAGGUAGUUGGUGGGGUAAUGGCCUACCAAGCCGACGAUCCAUAGCUGGUUUGAGAGGAUGAUCAGCCACACUGGGACUGCGACACGGCCCAGACUCCGACGGGAGGCAGCAGUGGGGAAUCUUAGACAAUGGGGGAAACCCUGAUCUAGCCAUGCCGCGUGAUCGAUGAAGGCCUUAGGGUUGUAAAGAGCUUUCAGUGGGGAAGAUAAUGACGGUACCCACAGAAGAAGCCCCGGCUAACUCCGUGCCAGCAGCCGCAGUAA